rnacentral:rRNA from 1 species
UACGAAGGGGGCUAGCGUUGCUCGGAAUCACUGGGCGUAAAGCGCACGUAGGCGGGUCGUUUAAGUCAGGGGUGAAAUCCUGGAGCUCAACUCCAGAACUGCCCUUGAUACUGGCGAUCUCGAGUUCGGGAGAGGUGAGUGGAACUGCGAGUGUAGAGGUGAAAUUCGUAGAUAUUCGCAAGAACACCAGUGGCGAAGGCGGCUCACUGGCCCGAUACUGGACGCUGAGGUGCGAAAGCGUGGGGAGCAAACAGG